CUACAGGCUUAACACAUGCAAGUCGAGGGGCAGCAUGGUCUUAGCUUGCUAAGGCCGAUGGCGACCGGCGCACGGGUGAGUAACACGUAUCCAACCUGCCGUCUACUCUUGGACAGCCUUCUGAAAGGAAGAUUAAUACAAGAUGGCAUCAUGAGUCCGCAUGUUCACAUGAUUAAAGGUAUUCCGGUAGACGAUGGGGAUGCGUUCCAUUAGAUAGUAGGCGGGGUAACGGCCCACCUAGUCUUCGAUGGAUAGGGGUUCUGAGAGGAAGGUCCCCCACAUUGGAACUGAGACACGGUCCAAACUCCUACGGGAGGCAGCAGUGAGGAAUAUUGGUCAAUGGGCGAGAGCCUGAACCAGCCAAGUAGCGUGAAGGAUGACUGCCCUAUGGGUUGUAAACUUCUUUUAUAAAGGAAUAAAGUCGGGUAUGGAUACCCGUUUGCAUGUACUUUAUGAAUAAGGAUCGGCUAACUCCGUGCCAGCAGCCGCGGUAAUACGGAGGAUCCGAGCGUUAUCCGGAUUUAUUGGGUUUAAAGGGAGCGUAGAUGGAUGUUUAAGUCAGUUGUGAAAGUUUGCGGCUCAACCGUAAAAUUGCAGUUGAUACUGGAUAUCUUGAGUGCAGUUGAGGCAGGCGGAAUUCGUGGUGUAGCGGUGAAAUGCUUAGAUAUCACGAAGAACUCCGAUUGCGAAGGCAGCCUGCUAAGCUGCAACUGACAUUGAGGCUCGAAAGUGUGGGUAUCAAACAGGAUUAGAUACCCUGGUAGUCCACACGGUAAACGAUGAAUACUCGCUGUUUGCGAUAUACUGCAAGCGGCCAAGCGAAAGCGUUAAGUAUUCCACCUGGGGAGUACGCCGGCAACGGUGAAACUCAAAGGAAUUGACGGGGCCCGCACAAGCGGAGGAACAUGUGGUUUAAUUCGAUGAUACGCGAGGAACCUUACCCGGGCUUAAAUUGCAGAUGAAUUACGGUGAAAGCCGUAAGCCGCAAGGCAUCUGUGAAGGUGCUGCAUGGUUGUCGUCAGCUCGUGCCGUGAGGUGUCGGCUUAAGUGCCAUAACGAGCGCAACCCUUGUUGUCAGUUACUAACAGGUUCCGCUGAGGACUCUGACAAGACUGCCAUCGUAAGAUGUGAGGAAGGUGGGGAUGACGUCAAAUCAGCACGGCCCUUACGUCCGGGGCUACACACGUGUUACAAUGGGGGGUACAGAGGGCCGCUACCACGCGAGUGGAUGCCAAUCCCCAAAACCUCUCUCAGUUCGGACUGGAGUCUGCAACCCGACUCCACGAAGCUGGACUCGCUAGUAAUCGCGCAUCAGCCACGGCGCGGUGAAUACGUUCCCGGGCCUUGUACACACCGCCCGUCAAGCCAUGGGAGCCGGGGGUACCUGAAGUGCGUAACCACGAGGAGCGCCCUAGGGUAAAACUGGUGACUGGGGCUAAGUA
rnacentral:rRNA from 1 species